UUGCUAGAUUGAUGGCGAGUGGCGAACGGGUGAGUAAUACAUCGGAACGUGCCCUGUAGUGGGGGAUAACUAGUCGAAAGAUUAGCUAAUACCGCAUACGACCUGAGGGUGAAAGUGGGGGACCGCAAGGCCUCAUGCUAUAGGAGCGGCCGAUGUCUGAUUAGCUAGUUGGUGGGGUAAAGGCCCACCAAGGCGACGAUCAGUAGCUGGUCUGAGAGGACGAUCAGCCACACUGGGACUGAGACACGGCCCAGACUCCUACGGGAGGCAGCAGUGGGGAAUUUUGGACAAUGGGGGCAACCCUGAUCCAGCAAUGCCGCGUGUGUGAAGAAGGCCUUCGGGUUGUAAAGCACUUUUGUCCGGAAAGAAAUCGCACUUACUAAUAUUAGGUGUGGAUGACGGUACCGGAAGAAUAAGGACCGGCUAACUACGUGCCAGCAGCCGCGGUAAUUCGUAGGGUCCAAGCGUUAAUCGGAAUUACUGGGCGUAAAGCGUGCGCAGGCGGUUGUGCAAGACCGAUGUGAAAUCCCCGGGCUUAACCUGGGAAUUGCAUUGGUGACUGCACGGCUAGAGUGUGUCAGAGGGGGGUAGAAUUCCACGUGUAGCAGUGAAAUGCGUAGAGAUGUGGAGGAAUACCGAUGGCGAAGGCAGCCCCCUGGGAUAACACUGACGCUCAUGCACGAAAGCGUG
rnacentral:rRNA from 1 species